UUAAGUUGAUGGUGAAUCACCAAACAAAUAAAACACAAAAUUUAGGAGUGAUAGACUUGAGUUUAAUGUGUCUGUGACUGAUAUCCAAUAUGUGGGUGCGUUAGCCAGUAAAAGACUUGUGAAGGCUGCUCUUGUGUAUCCUCAGAGAUCCCUCCUUGCUCCUCAGUGCAGAAAUAAGAGCUUUGAGAAGGCCUUCAAAAUGGCGGACCAGAACAACCUCCAGUCGACGAGUGAGGAAAAUUCAAAUAAAAGACUUGAGAUCUAUCCAUGGACACGAGAAGGAAAGGAAAGAGGAGGGGAAUAAAGGGGGGGAGUAAGACUCCAAAUAUUCAACACUCUUCAAGCCCUCUUGAGUUUGACCUUUGACCUUGCCUCACCAGUAUGCUGCAGGGUUCAGCUCUCCUCUGUGAGACGCCUGUUCCAGCAGAUAUUUUGGUUUUUUACCAAACACACACACACACAAAAACUCUGGAUCUCUGCCAGAUAUUAAACCCUCUGCAGUGAUGCAGAUGAAGUAAAUUAUGUUGACUGUGAGAAUUGGCCGACAGCAACUAGACGGUUUGUCUGCUGGUUUGUUUGUCUGUUAAAGUGAAUUUUACAGAAAAUACAGGAUACAUGAUGAUACUGUUGGAUGUAGUCUGUAUUAUGGUUACAUAUAGCAUGUAUAAACUGUAUAAUCUUAGUGACUCUACAACAUACAGCUUGUCUUUUGUCGGUAUCUGUAAUGUUUGUUUUGUUUAUGUUGGCGCCUACAGGACUGCAUUUUGUGUUUUAUAGUUUUUAGUUGCUGUUUAAAGUCCAACUGAAAUCACAUUUAAUCGUCCCUCUUUGCAUUCAAAUAUAAUGUCGAUAUGUUUUUCUUGAAUUUAUUGUUAAUAGUUUUGUAUUACAAUAAAGAAAAAAUGGAAAAAUAUCUGAGAUGCUUUUUGGGCGGCGUGUCAUAGUCUGUGUUUGAUUGACAGCAGCUGGCAGGCUACCGGUGCUACACCGUACAGAACAGAGACAAAGUAAACAAACCGCUGUAGCGACAAGUCAUCUAACUACAAAUCGCUAACAGGGAUUUUGAAGAGAGAUGACCAAACCAACAUCUAACAGGACAUUUGCAGCUUGAUGUGCCAUUCGGUGAGCAGGGUGAUCUUUCAGGAUCACUCCAACAGUGUCGCGGACACGGCUGUCGAGAGCUGGCGCACCAUCAGCUAGUACAUUACGUACGGGCUUUCCCCUUGAACGCUUAGAUGAAAGAGCUUCUCCAGCAGCUGUUGAGGAAGCUUCUUCACCUGCAACCAAAUUCAAAUGCCAGAAGGAAGGUGCAAGGAGAGUCAAGUGCAAGGGGAAGUCAGAAUCUGACAUGGAGCUGCAGAAGCUCGUUAUUGAUGCUGACCCAAAUCCUGAUGCAUUCACUACAUUUAGAGACCAGGUAGCAUCUGAAUUAUGACAAAUACAAGACCCAGCCAAUGUCACUAGUUUGAAAAGGAACACUGCCAGCACUGUACAUCAGUCCACCCGCAUGUCACAUGAGGGCUCUUGAUCUCAAAGCUGUUUGCAAACACUGCAAAACUACGAUCCAAAUGAAAGCCUGUAAAAACC